CAUCCCCUCACCACAGAUGAAUUUCCUUGAAAGGAUACUGCUGCACCCAUCACUGUAAAUGGCACCAGCAAAUAGUUUCUUCCCUGGGUAGGGGGCUGGGGGAAGUGGGAGCAGAGAAGAGGGUGACCGGAGAACCUCAAGGGAAGGUGGGGUAGCAGAGACACCUUGGGCCACUUCAUAUCCGUGCUAUAGGAAGACCGUGUCUAUUUGGAGCCUCCACAAUAAUCCAUCCUCACUCUUUACCAAUGCCCUAACAGCUAGUUCAGAUUUGCCUUGUUUCAAUCAAAUUCCUAGUGGGUCUCGGGCUUCUUAGUAUAGGGGGUGCAGGGGCUGAUUCAGGGCACCAUGAAGAGGGUUUUUGAAAACCAGUUUCCCUCGGCAGGUAGAACCUAAUUCAGAGAAAGGCAAUCU
rnacentral:lncRNA from 1 species